rnacentral:lncRNA from 1 species
GCUUAAUUCCUCUUGCGCAAGAAAUACCAUGAGCUCCCGUGGUCUUCUUGCAGCAAUACGGAUUAAUUGCACUCUUGUGUUGAUAGUGGCAAGCGAUCAUUCGAAUGUUGAGCGGUCACGUGAGUUUUCAAUAUUACCUUGGAAGAAAAUAGACUGAGUAUUUUUUGCAAAUCCUAUCUAACAGUUGAGACUGAAUACUGGGGUUGUACAGGUCAUAAGGCAGUAUUUUGAACGAUCGGGUUGAACGAGGAAGAAGUGAAUUGAUUGAAGGUUGCAGAUUCCAGAAAGCAAACAGUGAUGGAAACUUGUGAUUUUGGAAAUCAGAACGCUCUGGUGCUUUCAAGCUAUCCGGCUAAUGGAAUAAUGAAAUUGGCGGUGGAAGAAAUCGCACAGGAAUGAUGGAAAAGUAUGAGCUUCGGGGAGGAGAACAGCAAUCGGCAUCUAAGCAUUUCGCAAUCUGAGUAUAAUUUUGACUCGUGCGUAUAUGGUUGGCAAACCAAAUUUGGCUUGGCAUUUUCAUCAAUUGAUCCGAUGUUAAAGAGGGGUCAUCAGGAUUUAUAUACUGAGCAAUUGCAGGCUGGUUAUCUACUAAAACAUUAGACCAGAUUUCAGCCAGUAGAUUUCCUGAAUGGACAAAGUUUAUCUUUUUUAGAUCGGCAUCUGUAGUUUUUCCGGACGAAUCUAGAUGGGAGCCAAAGUGGGUAUGAUCCAAAACUAAUCCAGCGUGCUCAAGGCUAAGUGGAGCCAUUUUUCUUUCAACUCGAUUGAACGCACUACGUCCAGGGGCCGUAUUCCGAACUUGGCUUGAUAUUCGAGGGAGAUUGGAUCCCAAGCUUGGAUUGAGUAAUCCUAAUCCUGACCAAGCCAAGCAAAGUUUGAAGAGAGAAUUCUAAACACGAAUUUAUUGUUGAUUGAGUUGGAUUGACAUUUUUGCUUGACUUGGACAAGCUUGGAAGGAGGGUCUUAUUUCGACCAAUCACGGAACGCGUUUCACGAGUUAUUAGCAGACGAAACUACAACACCAAAAAAAGUCAACACAACAAUUUUGGUCAGUUUGAAAAGUAGUGAGAAAUGGCUAGCAAUAACAAAGGAAAAGCUCUUAAGAAAUCAGUUAAUAAACUGAUAAGUGUUUGUGAAAGUUCAGUUUCAUUGAAAAACAGAAUUGAAUGGACUACCCAAGAAGAAAACUUAAACUUAACUUUAUUUUAUUGUCUAUUCUGCAUUUUAUCAGCUGCCUUUUAUUUUUUAGCACAUUCUCCAAGGUGCCCACGAUCAUGCUGUAAGAACAGAAGAAAAAACUAAGGCAUGGAAUGAGAUUCAUGAGGCAAUCAGUUUAGAGUUCCCCGAUGGUGAUCCAAAAAACUGUUCUCAAGUAAAGAAAAAAUGGGACAAUCUCAAUAGAGAAGCAAGAACUGAGAUUGCCAAGUAUACCUCAUCGAUAAGUGGAGGCCCUGAAUAUCAAUAUAAGGAACCGCUUCACAAAAAGAUUUUUGAAGAUGUCGUAGGAGUAAACAAUCCAGCAAUAGUUAAUGGAGGAAUCGAAGGAGGUGUAGAGAGUGAAACAGCUAGCAGUAGCUAGCAUAGCGUCAUAACAAGCGAUGGGAUUGUAGAUAUUACGGAUGAUGGGACCGUUGUUUCAAUCACUCCGACUCCAUCAAUGCCUGACAAAAUAUUAAUAACUGAAGGUGUUAGUUGCAACGGCCGCUCUACACCCAAAACUACACGAUCAACAAUGAGUGCGACGAAGAAGAAAAUUUUUCAGUUAAGUGACGAAAUUGGAAACAAACGACUGAAAAGGGAAAGAUUUAUGUAUUUAAACGUGUUGAGGGAAAGUAGAGCUCGUUUAGGGGUUCCUGUAACUAUGGAAGAAGUACAGUAUCCUGCACAAAAAUCCGAACACCGAUUUAAUUUUUUAAAGCCACCUAUUUGCGGAAAAAAGGGUUUUUAUUUGUUUUUCUUUAAUAGGGA